rnacentral:piRNA from 1 species
CUAGAGCCAUCAAAAUUCCACUC